UACGGGGGGAGCAAGCGUUGUUCGGAUUUACUGGGCGUAAAGGGCGCGUAGGCGGCGCAACAAGUCAGCUGUGAAAUCUCCGGGCUUAACCCGGAGCGGCCAGCUGAUACUGUCGUGCUAGAGUGCGGAAGGGGCUACUGGAAUUCUCGGUGUAGCGGUGAGAUGCGUAGAUAUCGAGAGGAACACCUGUGGCGAAGGCGGGUAGCUGGGCCGACACUGACGCUGAGGCGCGAAAGCUAGGGGAGCGAACGGG
rnacentral:rRNA from 1 species